GUGAUUUUCUGAAAGUCUCUAGGGGAUUAUCGUACUGCUUAAUAAAUUGCUUUCGAUAGCAAAACUAUCGGUAAUUCUUUAUCAUUUAAUAUCAAAACGUGGUCAAAUCCGUCAAGAUGCAGAUUCCACCGAUUUUUAUGGAAUUACCCUUAGAUGAUCAGGCACAGGAAUUGCGAGCAUAUUUUAAAAGUCUUGGAGCUGAGAUCAGUGAAGAAAAAUCUCCCAAAGGAAUAGAGGAUGAUUUACAUAAAAUCAUUGGAGUUUGUGAAGCUUGUUUUAAAGAAGGAAAUGAAAAUGAAAUUGAAACUGUAUUAAAUGAUAUUGUCUCUCUCAUGAUAUUAAUACCUACUGAAAGAGCAGAAAAUUUAAUAUUAGCAUUUUGUGAGAAGCUUACAAAAGCGCCAGGUUAUAAAUUAGGCUUGGUGUGUUUGAAAGCUUUAUGGUUAUUAUUCCAAUCUCUUUCCGAUGAUUCGCCAAUGAGAUACCAUGUCUAUUAUCAUCUAGUUCAAAUAGCUCGUAAUGUAGACCAAGUGAAAGCAGUUUACGGAGGAAUAGAUCAAUUGAAACAACAAUUUGCAUCAUUUCCACCAUCCAAUGAACAAAUGCAAAAAUUAUUGCGUUUGUUGCAUGAAGUACUUCUCAGUUGUAAACAAGGAGAGCAGGCAGCUGCUGUAAUGGUAGAACUUCUUGGAACAUAUACAGCAGAAAAUGCUUCUGCUGCAAGAGAAGAUGCCCAACGUUGCAUUUUAGCUGCUCUUGCAGAUCCAAAUACAUUUUUACUCGAUCCAUUAUUAGCCUUAAAGCCUGUACGGUUUUUAGAAGGAGAACUAAUUCAUGAUUUAUUACUUGUAUUUGUACAAGAAAAAUUACCAGCAUAUCUACACUUUUAUCAACAUCAUAAGGAAUUUGUUGAGCAUCAACUUGGGUUAAAUCAUGAGCAAAAUAUGAAAAAAAUGAGGUUAUUAACAUUCAUGCAAUUGGCAGAAACAAAUCCAGAAAUGUCAUUUGAUACCAUCCAAGAAGAAUUACAAAUUAAUGAAGAUGAAGUAGAAAACUUCAUUAUUGAUGUCUUGAAAACGAAACUUGUAAGAGCACGUAUGGAUCAAGCUGGUCGUAAAGUACUUAUUUCAAGUACAAUGCAUAGAACCUUUGGAAGGCCACAAUGGAUGCAAUUACGAGACUUACUUGUUGCUUGGAAAGCCAAUUUGUCUGCUGUUCAAGAUGCUAUGAAGUCUGUAGCUGCUGCACAAAUGGAACUUGCAACAAAAAAGAAAGAGGGCGAUGUAUAAGUAUACUUGGUCUUCACAGUGGUAGUACCUACUAUCCUCUACACACAUUUUUUGCCAUAAUAAAGAAUUGGCACUUGCCUUAUAUAGACAGAAAAUUGUAUACGAAGUAUACCACGCCACAAUCGUGAGACAAUUGAAUAAAAUAAUUUACUAAUAAUUUAAAAAGAAUAAAUAUUACAUAUGUGAAAUACAGAGGAAACAAUAUUAUUAUUGUGAAUAUUCGUACUUUUUAUUAUCACAUGGUAAUGAUACAAAAUAUCAUUUGUACAAUUGUAUAUGCAGCAGAUAUAAUACUUUAUUAAAAAUUUAUAACACAAACAAAAAACCUCAACAUAUGUAAACUAAAUUAAUAAAACAAUAGAUAGCACAUACACUCCUUUUAAUAGAAAACAAAUAAUUAUUUAACUUAUCUAAUGUGUGUCAUUGCAUAUUUCAGUACCUUAAUAAUAAGUGUCUAUCUUGUUUCUCUCUGUCACCGUUUAACUGUCAUCAAUAUAAAAGUAUUAUUUUAACAAAGGUGUAUAAUUUUUCGAAGGCA